rnacentral:rRNA from 1 species
UACGAAGGGGGCUAGCGUUGUUCGGAAUCACUGGGCGUAAAGCGCACGCAGGCGGAUUGAUAAGUCGGGGGUGAAAUCCCGGGGCUCAACCUCGGAAUUGCCCUCGAUACUGUCUGUCUUGAGUCCGGGAGAGGUGAGUGGAAUUCCUAGUGUAGAGGUGAAAUUCGUAGAUAUUAGGAAGAACACCAGUGGCGAAGGCGGCUCACUGGCCCGGUACUGACGCUCAUGUGCGAAAGCGUGGGGAGCAAACAGG